rnacentral:rRNA from 1 species
AUUGAACGCUGGCGGUAUGCUUUACACAUGCAAGUCGAACGGCAGCACGGGAGCAAUCCUGGUGGCGAGUGGCGAACGGGUGAGUAAUGCAUCGGAACAUACCCAGUCGUGGGGGACAACUACUUGAAAGAGUAGCUAAUACCGCAUGACAUCUAAGGAUAAAAGCAGGGGAUUCAUUUAUGGACCUUGCGCGACUGGAGUGGCCGAUGUUAGAUUAGGUAGUUGGUGAGGUAAAGGCUCACCAAGCCGACGAUCUAUAGCUGGUCUGAGAGGAUGAUCAGCCACACUGGGACUGAGACACGGCCCAGACUCCUACGGGAGGCAGCAGUGGGGAAUUUUGGACAAUGGGCGCAAGCCUGAUCCAGCAAUACCGCGUGCAGGAAGAAGGCCUUCGGGUUGUAAACUGCUUUUGUGUGGAACGAAAAGAUUUGGGUUAAUACCCUAGAUUGAUGACGGUACCACAAGAAUAAGCACCGGCUAACUACGUGCCAGCCGCCGCCGUAACAC